AGGAUUAUAGUUUAACUAAAACAUUUGAUUUGCAUUCAAAAUAUAUUGACUUCAAUUUAUCUUA
rnacentral:tRNA from 3 species